rnacentral:rRNA from 1 species
UACGUAGGGUGCAAGCGUUAAUCGGAAUUACUGGGCGUAAAGCGUGCGCAGGCGGUGAUGUAAGACAGGUGUGAAAUCCCCGAGCUUAACUUGGGAACUGCCAUUGAUACUAUUAGUCUUGAAUACCGUGGAGGUCGGCGGAAUAUGUCAUGUAGCGGUGAAAUGCUUAGAUAUGACAUAGAACACCAAUUGCGAAGGCAGCUGACUACGCGAGUAUUGACACUGAGGCACGAAAGCGUGGGGAUCAAACAGG